GUGCUUGCUGCAGCAGCACAUAGACUACAAUUGGAAUGAUAUAGAGAUUAGUAUGACCCCUGCUCAAGGAUGAUAUGUAAAUUCGUGAAGUGUUCCAUAUUUUU
ensembl:snRNA U6 U6 spliceosomal RNA